rnacentral:rRNA from 1 species
UACGUAGGGUGCGAGCGUUGUCCGGAAUUAUUGGGCGUAAAGAGCUCGUAGGUGGUUUGUUACGUCUGCUGUGAAAUCCUAGGGCUUAACCCUGGGCUUGCAGUGGAUACGGGCAGACUAGAGGUAGGUAGGGGAGAAUGGAAUUCCUGGUGUAGCGGUGAAAUGCGCAGAUAUCAGGAGGAACACCGGUGGCGAAGGCGGUUCUCUGGGCCUUACCUGACACUGAGGAGCGAAAGCGUGGGGAGCGAACAGG